UACAGAGGGGGCAAGCGUUGUUCGGAUUCAUUGGGCGUAAAGGGUGUGUAGGUGGCGCCGUUAGUCGGGUGUGAAAUUUCGGAGCUUAACUCCGAAACUGCAUUCGAUACUGCGGUGCUUGAGGACUGGAGAGGAGACUGGAAUUCAUGGUGUAGCAGUGAAAUGCGUAGAGAUCAUGAGGAAGACCAGUGGCGAAGGCGGGUCUCUGGACAGUUCCUGACACUGAGACACGAAGGCCAGGGGAGCAAACGGG
rnacentral:rRNA from 1 species